CAGGAUGCGAGUCAGUGCAGACAGGUAGAUCGCGGGUGUGGAGGGCAGGACAGAAGAUACCUGUCACAGAGGGAGAACACCGAAGGCAGGUUUUAAAAUCUGCCCUGAUAACUGUAGCCUGGUUGGCUUUGAACUUUCUAGAAGGACAGAAAGCUGGAUCUGAAGCAGCUCCUUGAACCAGAGUCUCACAGCUGUGAUAGAGCCAAGUCACCAAACACUGUUUCGGAAGGAAAGGGAACGGUGCCUCAUGACGGCCUGGCGCAGAUCCCCUCUGAUAGACACAUGAGAUAGGCAAGUGGAGUUCUGCAACUUGUCACCAUCUGUGGCUAACUGGUCACCAUCAAAUGGCACAGACAGGCAGGCUGGCAGCGUGCCAACAAGAACUGGCGUUCAUUUUUGGAACAAAGGAGGACAUGCAGGCAUGUUUUUCUCUUUCAUUUCCUUUGUUCGGCACUUAUGCCAAUCAGGUGUUCCUACUCCUUGGACCUUCUUGAGCUAACUUUUCACUUCCCUUUGGCUCGUGGAAAAGGGCAUUUUGGGUGCAUUGACUGAUGCCCAUGCAUUUGUGCUAGACUUUGGACAUGAAGGCAUAGGACCGCCCCUAAAAGCAAGCAGAUGAUGAUACACACACAAAAUGCAGAUGUUUGUGGACUUCGCACGCGGGCAGACCUGUGAGCUCCAUUUCGCAGGCCAACAGGCUGAGCCUGCUGCCCGGUCAGAGUGAGAGGUUCCUAACUGACAAAACCUCCUUUUUAGAAGAAUAAAAUAGAAGGUUACUGAGUCUUCGAGCUAAUCUGUCUAAUUAGAUGCCUCUGAGCAAAAUGCAUAAAAUUUGCAUGAAUUAUCCUAACAGGCGAAGCAUAGGACAGAGGAAGGAAAAACUACAGGAAAUUUGCAUUUUGAUGGUAGUAGGGGAGGCCUGGAGACUAUGUUCCAGAAGGUCUUUUCUGCUUUUAUGUUUAGGAGCUACACUCAGGAGGAGCUGCCCUGUGCUGCAUGUUGUCAGCAAAGACGGCCCCUGGCAUCCUCUGCUUUGCAGGCAGCUCCUCCAAGUCUUGUCUGCGGACUGCCUUCCGGGCAGGCUGGCGUCGAGCCCAGUGGGAGGAAGCUUUCUUAAAAAGGCAGUGCCAGGGGACGGGGGUAAUCCGUUUCAGUACUGGCCUUUCCCUGGCUGGAGGGACAGUUACUACAUCUUGGCCUCUAGGUGGCGCUGUUGCACCUGUUGUAAGAAGCACUUUGUAGCUAUAUCCCUGAUAUGUUUAAAAUGGAGGGAGAGGAGAAAAAGAAUAUUGAAUAAAAUACAGCUGCCUCUUCUUGCUGCUCUCCUGUUACCCACUUCCUAACAUCACGACCCUCUCCACCUAGGCACAGCCGCUCCAUGCAGCCCAAAGGACACGAUAUGUUGUUUAACCUCGUAUGCUUUGUUUAAAGCCAGUGGUUCUUUCAGUUCCAUUGCUCUGUGUGCACAUAGCAAGCUCAGGGAUAAUUCACCGGAGAGCUAAAGUCCCCAAGAUAAUACUCGCCUCUCUCCGUUUUACUUCCCCCGCCCCCACCCUCUCAGUUCUCUUUGUUGCUGGGAUGUUUACUGCGGUGGGAACCUGGGCUGCGGUAGAGGCCUUUCCUUGGACCCGGAAGGCAGCGCUUAAUAAUGGAAAUCAGGGCUGAAGGGAGCAGGUGGGCAGUGAUGUCACAGGGGAGAUGGCAACCUGACCCAAAUGGGGAAGGGACAGAGGGAAGAGAGCCCAUUACUGCCUCUCCCUGUCCAUUCUUCCUGGCUGUCUAGAAAACCUGUCUCCUCCUGGGCUGACAGGUUUAGGCCAAGUGUGCGAAUCACAUUCUGAUGUCUAACUAGAGGUAGUAAUGUGGAGACCCAGGGGGACGUGCUCAUUCAUUAACAUAGCCUCUGUUUUCCUGGUGCUGUGAACUGGGCAUCCUACUGACCCGUUAGGCAAAGGCUUGAGAACAGUCCUAAAGGUGUUUGCAAAAAAUAAGGUGGGAAUUUUGGGAGAUGGGACUAAUUCUCACCACAUCAUA